UAUCUUUGCCGCCUGAUUGAAAACCAGUCAGGUACAUAAAAAUCAUUUAAAACAAUAUUGGAAUG
rfam:Flavobacteriaceae bacterium HSG9 contig2, whole genome shotgun sequence.